AUUGAACGCUGGCGGCAGGCUUAACACAUGCAAGUCGAGCGGGGUGAUGGUGCUUGCACUAUCACUUAGCGGCGGACGGGUGAGUAAUGCUUAGGAAUCUGCCUAUUAGUGGGGGACAACAUCUCGAAAGGGAUGCUAAUACCGCAUACGUCCUACGGGAGAAAGCAGGGGAUCACUUGUGACCUUGCGCUAAUAGAUGAGCCUAAGUCGGAUUAGCUAGUUGGUGGGGUAAAGGCCUACCAAGGCGACGAUCUGUAGCGGGUCUGAGAGGAUGAACAGGCACACUGGGACUGAGACACGGCCCAGAAUCCUACGGGAGGCAGCAGUGGGGAAUAUUGGACAAUGGGGGGAACCCUGAUCCAGCCAUGCCGCGUGUGUGAAGAAGGCCUUAUGGUUGUAAAGCACUUUAAGCGAGGAGGAGGCUCUUUUGGUUAAUACCCAAGAUGAGUGGACGUUACUCGCAGAAUAAGCACCGGCUAACUCUGUGCCAGCCGCCGCAGUAA
rnacentral:rRNA from 1 species